AAGCAUAGCAAGUGAUACGCAAUAUCACGUUCUUCGCUCUAUCGCUUCCUGCUAAAAAUUCGAAGCUGGUUAAUCAUUCAAGGAAGUAAUUGUUUUACUUUUUGCAUGCCUUCACACAUUAUAAACAGGAGAAGCUUUGAUAGGACAAAUAUGGAGCAAAAGCCUCCAAGGAUGAAGUUAAUUAGUAAGCUCCCUGGGUCGGAAGUGGAAACCAUAAAGAAGAAUUCACAUAUGCUUGUGUCACCAACAACAUCUCAGAAUUCUCUCAUGUCACCAACCUCUCAAACCAUAACCCGAAAUAACUCAAAUGGGAGGUUGAAUUGUCUAUGCUCACCCACCACACAUGCUGGUUCCUUUAGAUGUCGACACCAUCGAUCUUCUGGAUUUCGUCGUGGUAAAUCUGUUGGCUCUAACCUUGCUGAAUUGGGGUCUAAAGCAGGCUCAAUCAGUGACUCACUCCAUGCUCAAUAGCAUUGCAAGCAUGAUUUUAAAUAUCAGUUCACAAUCACAACUGCGACUAUAAUGUCAAGGUAUUUUACCUCACCGCAACAAGUCGUGAUCAUAAUGUAAAAGUUUUCUGACUCACAAGUGUAACAGCAAUUUAAAACAAUGAUCCCAAGGAAUGAGGUUGCACAUAUACAUAGGCAUGCUAAUGACCCCUAAUGACAUGGCAAUUUACUUUUCUUGAACAGACUCAACAAGAUAUUCAAUUUAUUUUUGUGGUGAUUCAAAAACUCA